UACGGAGGGGGCUAGCGUUGUUCGGAAUUACUGGGCGUAAAGCGUGCGCAGGCGGUUUUGUAAGUCAGAUGUGAAAUCCCCGGGCUUAACCUGGGAACUGCGUUUGAAACUACAAGGCUAGAGUGUGACAGAGGGGGGUGGAAUUCCACGUGUAGCAGUGAAAUGCGUAGAGAUGUGGAGGAACACCGAUGGCGAAGGCAGCCCCCUGGGUUAACACUGACGCUCAGGCACGAAAGCGUGGGGAGCAAACAGG
rnacentral:rRNA from 1 species